rnacentral:misc_RNA from 1 species
GAUGAAGAACGCAGUGAAAUGCGAUAAGUAGUGUGAAUUGCAGAAUUCAGUGAAUCAUCGAAUCUUUGAACGCACCUUGCGCCCUUUGGCCAUUCCGAAGGGCAUGCCUGUUUGAGUAUCAUGAACACCUCAACUCUUUAUGGUUUUCCAUGAUGAGCUUGGACUCUGGGGGUUUUGCUGGCUCACAGUCGGCUCCUCUAAAAUGAAUCAGCUUACCAGUGUUUGGUGGGUAUCAUGGGUGUGAUAACUAUCUACGCUUGUGGUUUUUCCACCAGGUAACCUUCAGCAGUGGAGGUUCGCUGGAGCUCAUAGAUGUAUCUCCUCAGUGAGGACAGCCCUUUGAAUGUUUGAUCUCAAAUCAGGUAGGACUACCCGCUGAACUUAAGCAUAUCAAUAAGCGGAGGA